rnacentral:rRNA from 1 species
GACGAACGCUGGCGGCGUGCUUAACACAUGCAAGUCGAACGGAAAGGCCCCUUUGGGGGUGCUCGAGUGGCGAACGGGCGAGUAACACGUGAGUAACCUGCCCUUGACUUCGGGAUAACUUCAGGCAACUGGGGCUAAUACCGGAUAGGAAUCCUUGCUGCAUGGUGGGGGAUGGAAAGCUUCGGCGGUUUUGGAUGGCUUCGCGGCUGAUCAGCUUGUUGGUGGGCUAGUGGCUUACCAAGUCUUUGACGGGUAGCCGGCCUGAGAGGGCGACCGGCCACAUUGUGACUGCGAUACGGCCCAGACUCCUACAGGAAGCAGCAGUGGCGAAUAUUGCACAAUGGGCGGAAGCCUGAUGCAGCAACUCCGCGUGCGGGAUGAGGGCCUUCGAGUUGUAAACCUCUUUCAGCGGUAGCGAAGCAUUUGUGACGGUACCUGCAGAAGAAGCACCGGCUAACUACGUG